rnacentral:rRNA from 1 species
CGUAGGUGGCAAGCGUUGUCCGGAUUUAUUGGGUUUAAAGGGUGCGUAGGCGGCCUUGUAAGUCAGUGGUGAAAUACUCCAGCUUAACUGGAGGGGUGCCAUUGAUACUGCAGGGCUUGAGUACAGAUGAAGUAGGCGGAAUUGACGGUGUAGCGGUGAAAUGCAUAGAUAUCGUCAAGAACUCCGAUAGCGAAGGCAGCUUACUAAGCUGUAACUGACGCUGAGGCACGAAAGUGUGGGGAUCAAACAGGAUUAGAUACCCUGGUAGUCCACACUGUAAACGUUGAUGACUCGAUGUUGGCGAUACACAGCCAGCGUCCAAGAGCAAUCGUUAAGUCAUCCACCUGGGGAUACGCCGGCAACGGUG